CAUUGAAAUUUUUGAUAGGGAUAGCACUGAAUCUGUAGACCACUUUAGGUAGUAAAACAUUUUAACAAUUUUAAUUCUUCCAAUCCAUGAGCACAGAAUACUUUUCUAUUUAUUUGUGUCAUCUUUAAUUUCUUUCAUCCGAUUUCUUAUAGUUUUUAAUGUACAGAUCUUUCACUUCCUUGGUCAAAUUUAUUCCUAGGUAUUUUAUUUUUUGAUGCAAUUAUAAAUGGGAUUGAUCUUUUUAAUAUUUUUAAAUUUUUAUUUAUUUAUUUAUAUUGACAUAUAGUUGACUUGCAAGUUUCAGGUGUAUAGCACAGCAAUACACACACACACACACACACACACACACACACACACAUAGUCUUCAGUUAUAGGGUAUAUAUUCUCCUCCAUUAUAGGUUAUUCCAAGUAUAGUUCCCUGUGCUAUACAGUAGGUCCUGUUGGUUAUCUAUUUUAUAUAUAGUAGUGCAUGUGUCAUGAACUGUUUUUCUAAAUUUAUCUUUCUGAUAGUUUGUAUUAGUGAAACAAACAAAUCAAUGAAAGUGAUUUUUGUAUUUUAGGGUUUUAUAAAUAUAAUAUCAUGUGAUCUGCACAUAGAGACAGUUUUACUUCCUCUUUUAAAAUAAGUUUGGAGGUAUUCCCUCCUCUUCUGUUUUUUGGAAUAGUUUGAGAAGGAUUGGUAUUAAUUCCUCUUUAAAUGUUUGGUAGAAUUCACCAGUGAAGUCAUCUGGUCCUGGACUUCUGUCUAUUGAGAGAUUUUUUUUUUUAUUAUUACAUAUGCAUCCUCCUUACUAGUAAUUGGUCUAUUCAUAUUUUCUAUUUCCUCAACACUCAAGGCUGGUAGGUUAUGUGUCUAGAAAUUUAUACUAAGUUUUCCAGUAGAAGAAGAAAGAGAACAAAAGAAUUACAAAACAGCCAGAAAAUAAUUAAUAAAAUGGCAAUAGUAAAUCCAUACCUAUCAAUAAUUGCUUUAAAUGUAAAUGUAAAUUUCUCCAAUCGAAAGACAUAGAGGGACUAAAUGUAUUAAAAAAAAAAAAGACCCAACUAUAUGCUGUCUACAAGAGACCCACUUCAACUUUAAGGACACAUAUAGACUGAAAUAAAGGGAUGGAAAAAGGAUAUGUGCAAAUGGAAGCAGAAAGGAAGGAAGGAAGGAAGGAAGAGUGAGAAAGAACGAACUAAGAUAGCUAUACUUAGACAAAAUAGACUUUAAAAUAAAGUCUGUGAUAAGAGAAAAGGAAGAUCAUUAUAUAAUGAUAAAGGGGUCUAUCCAACAAGAGGAUAUAACAUUUGUAAAUAUUUACACAUCCAACAUAGGAACACUAAAUAUAUAAAGAAAUAUUAACACACUUGAAGGAGAAAUAUAUGGCAAUACAAUAAUAGCAAGAGAAUUUAAUACCCUACUUUCAACAAUGGGUAGAUCAUCUACAAAGAAAAAUCAGUAAAGAAAAUCAAUAAAGAAAAGACUUAAGGUACAUGUUAGACCAGAUGGACUUAACAUUCAUAGACUAUUCCAUCCAAAAGUAACAGAAUAUGCAUUCUUCUCAAUAACACACAGAACAUUCUCCAGGAUAGAUCAUAUGAUCUGCCAGAACAGAAGUCUUUAACUUUUCAUCUCAAGGAACUAGAAAAAGAAGAACAAACUAAGCCCAAAGUUAGUAGAAAGAGGGAUAUAACAAAGACCAGAACAUAAAUAAGUAAAACUGACUAAAAAGACUCACCAAGAGAAAGAGAGAGAAAACUCAAAUAAAAUUAGAAAUGAAAGAGGAAACUACAACUCAUACUAUAGAAAUACAAAGGAUCAUAUGAGACUACUAUGACCAAUUAUAUGCCAACAAAAGCCCUCAUUUUAAAAACGAAGUAACUAACACCUGAAGUGUUAAGUAAUUGGCCCAAGGUCACCAACUAGAUAGUGGCAGAGCCAGGACUAAAACUCAAAUCUCCUGACUUUCAAUUGAAUGUUUCCUCACUUCAUGUUGCUUUAGCUCUUGUGACUGAGGGAUUUGGAGGUAUAUACAUGAUGGUAUUGCAUAUGAGAAAUGUUUAGCUGAUUUCUGUGUCUAGGAUAAAAAAAAAAAACAAAAAAACAAAAAAAACAAAAAAAACAGAUCAGUAUAGCCAUCUUCCUGGGCCUCUAUGAGGUUCUUGUGACCCAGAGGUCUCCAUGGAGGGGAAGCACCACUUCUACAAUGCAGUCGAGAGCC
rnacentral:lncRNA from 1 species